GAAGUUUUCUAGAUUAUUGAAAAGAAAUUUAUGGGUACAAGAUAUGGGGCAGAAACAGUUAAAUUAAGCAAGAUAUAUGCAAGUAACAAUGAACAAGACCAGAUCACUGGAUGGUAUUUCAGCACACUGGUGGACAUUCAACUUAAUACCUGCAACCUGUGUCACAUUUAUAUAGUUUGUAGAGAUUCAAAAUGUACACUACAUGGUUUAUUCAAUCAC